rnacentral:tRNA from 2 species
GGUUGCUUAGUUCAACGGAAGAAUACCUUUAUUCAUUGGCAGGAGACCGGGGUUCGAUUCCUCGGGCGACCU